rnacentral:rRNA from 1 species
ACUCCUACGGGAGGCAGCAGUGGGGAAUAUUGGACAAUGGGCGCAAGCCUGAUCCAGCCAUGCCGCGUGAGUGAUGAAGGCCCUAGGGUUGUAAAGCUCUUUCACCGGUGAAGAUAAUGACGGUAACCGGAGAAGAAGCCCCGGCUAACUUCGUGCCAGCAGCCGCGGUAAUACGAAGGGGGCUAGCGUUGUUCGGAUUUACUGGGCGUAAAGCGCACGUAGGCGGACUAUUAAGUCAGGGGUGAAAUCCCGGGGCUCAACCCCGGAACUGCCUUUGAUACUGGUAGUCUUGAGUUCGAGAGAGGUGAGUGGAAUUCCGAGUGUAGAGGUGAAAUUCGUAGAUAUUCGGAGGAACACCAGUGGCGAAGGCGGCUCACUGGCUCGAUACUGACGCUGAGGUGCGAAAGCGUGGGGAGCAAACAGGAUUAGAAACCCCAAUAGUCCC